rnacentral:misc_RNA from 1 species
GAAAUGCGAUAAGUAGUGUGAAUUGCAGAAUUCAGUGAAUCAUCGAAUCUUUGAACGCACAUUGCGCCCUUUGGUAUUCCAAAGGGCAUGCCUGUUCGAGCGUCAUUUGUACCCUCAAGCUUUGCUUGGUGUUGGGCGUCUUGUCUCCAGUUCGCUGGAGACUCGCCUUAAAGUAAUUGGCAGCCGGCCUACUGGUUCCGGAGCGCAGCACAAGUCGCGCUCUCUUCCAGCCAAGGUCAGCAUCCACAAAGCCUUUUUUCAACUUUUGACCUCGGAUCAGGUAGGGAUACCCGCUGAACUUAAGC